UGAGGAACGCCUGAUGGAGGGGGAUAACUACUGGAAACGGUAGCUAAUACCGCAUAACGUCGCAAGACCAAAGAGGGGGACCUUCGGGCCUCUUGCCAUCGGAUGUGCCCAGAUGGGAUUAGCUAGUAGGUGGGGUAACGGCUCACCUAGGCGACGAUCCCUAGCUGGUCUGAGAGGAUGACCAGCCACACUGGAACUGAGACACGGUCCAG
rnacentral:rRNA from 1 species